CGCGUAGGUGGUAGUGCAAGUCUGGGGUGGAAUCUUAGGGCUUAACCCUAAAACUGCCUUGGAAACUGCAUUACUUGAGUCAGUGAGGGGAGGGUAGAAUUCCUGGUGUAGCGGUGAAAUGCGUAGAUAUCAGGAGGAAGGCCUGUGGCGAAGGCGGCCCUCUGGCGCUGAACUGACACUGAGGCGCGAAAGCGUGGGUAGCAAACAGGAUUAGAUACCCUGGUAGUCCACGCCCUAAACGGUGGGUACUAGGUGUAGGGCUCGUAAGGGUUCUGUGCCGAAGGGAAACCAUUAAGUACCCCGCCUGGGGGAGUACGGCCGCAAGGUUGAA
rnacentral:rRNA from 1 species